AUCAACUAGCCGUCCGUGUGCUCGCCGACGGCGUGCGGCGGCCUCGGCAUCCAUGACCUGCAAAGCUUCAGCCGCGCCCUGCGACUCAGGUGGCUGUGGAUCACUUGGCAACACCCGGAGCGCCCAUGGGUGGGGUUGGAGACACCAUGCAGCACGGAGGACAGAGCGCUCUUC
rnacentral:rRNA from 1 species